rnacentral:rRNA from 1 species
AGUGAACGCUGGCGGUAGGCCUAACACAUGCAAGUCGAACGGCAGCACAGUAAGAGCUUGCUCUUACGGGUGGCGAGUGGCGGACGGGUGAGGAAUACAUCGGAAUCUACUUUUUCGUGGGGGAUAACGUAGGGAAACUUACGCUAAUACCGCAUACGACCUACGGGUGAAAGCAGGGGAUCUUCUGACCUUGCGCGAUUGGAUGAGCCGAUGUCGUAUUAGCUAGUUGGCGGGGUAAAGGCCCACCAAGGCGACGAUCCGUAGCUGGUCUGCGAGGAUGAUCAGCCACCCUGGAACUGAGACAGGGUCCAGACUCCUACGGGAGGCAGCAGUGGGGAAUAUUGGACAAUGGGCGCAAGCCUGAUCCAGCCAUACCGCGUGGGUGAAGAAGGCCUUCGGGUUGUAAAGCCCUUUUGUUGGGAAAGAAAAGCAGCAGGUUAAUACCCCGCUGUUCUGACGGUACCCAAAGAAUAAGCACCGGCUAACUUCGUG